UCUGGUUGAUCCUGCCAGUAGUCAUAUCUUGUCUCAAAGAUUAAGCCAUGCAUGUGUAUGUAUGAACUAAUUCAGGCUGUGAAACUAUGAAUGGCUCAUUAAUUCAAUUAUAGUUUGUUUGAUGGUAUCUGUUACUCGAAUAAUUAUAGUAAUUCUAGAGUUAAUAUGUGCAACAAAGCUUUACUUUUAUAAAGGAUGCAUAUAUUGGAUAAAAGGUUGUUACAGGCUUUCCCUGUUGCUCUUAUGAUUCAUGAUAACUUGACAGAUCAGAUAGCCUUUGUGUUGGUGAUGCAUCAUUCAAAUUUCUACCCUAUCAACUUUUGAUGGUAAGAUAGUGGCCUAUUAUAGUGGUGACAGGUGAUGGAGAAUUAGGGUUCAAUUCUAGAGAGGGAGCCUAAGAAACAGCUACCACAUCCAAGAAAAGUAGUAGGCACACAAAUUACCCAAUCCUGAGAUAGGGAGGUAGUGACAAUAAAUAACAAUACUGAGUUCUAGGAGUCUGGUAAUUGGAAUGAAUAAAAUUUAAAUCUCUUAAUGAGGAUCCAUUGAAGGGUAAGUCUAGUGCUAGCAGCCAAGGUAAUUCUAGCUCCAACAACAUAUAUUUAAGUUGUUGUAGUUAAAAAUCUCAUAAUUGGAACUAGGGUUAGGUCAUUCGGCUCACCUCACGGUGAGCAUCAAUCUGCUCAUCCCUACUACUGAUGAUGCACUCUUGGCCUUAACUAGUGGGUCAUUCCUCUAGUAUUGUUACUUUGAAGAAAUUAGAGUGCUCAAAGAAAGCCUACACUUGUAUGCAUUAGCAUGAGAUAACAUCAUAGGAUUUCAAUCCUAAUGUGUUGGCCUUCGAGAUCAGUGUAAAGAUUAAUAGGGACAAUUAAGGGCAUUCAUAUUUCAUAGUCAGAGGUGAAAUUCUUAGAUUUAUGAAAGAUGGACAACUAUGAAAGCAUUUGCCAAGGAUGUUUUCAUUAAUCAAGAAUGAAAGUUAGGGGCUCAAAGAUGAUCAGAUACCAUCAUAGUCUCAAACAUAAUCAAUGUCAAUAAAGGAUCGAUGGAUGUUACUUUUUUAACUUCACCAACACCUUAUGAGAAUUCAAAGUCUUUGGGUUCAAGGGGAGUAUGCUUGUAGGGCUAAAACUUAAAGGAAUUGAUGGAAAGGCACCAUCAAGAGUGGUGCUUGUAGCUUAAUUUGACUCAACACGGGGAAAUUUACCAGGUCCAAACAUAGUAAGGAUUGACAGACUAAGAGCUUUUUCUUGAUUCUAUAGGUGGUGGUGCAUGGUCGUUCUUAGUUGGUGAAGCGAUUUGUCUAGUUAAUUCUAUUAACAAACGAGACCUUAGCCUGCUAGUUAGCUACACAAAGGUGAUCUUUUGUGGCUAGCUUCUUAGAGGGACUAUGGCCACUUAGGCCAAGGAAGUUUGAGGCAAUAAUAGGUCUAUGAUGCCCUUAGAAGUUUUGGGUUGCAUGCAUGCUACAAUGAUGUAUUUAAUGGGUCUAUAACCUUGGUCGAUAGGCCUAGAUAAUCUUUAAAAUUUCAUCAUGAUAGGGAUAGAUCAUUGUAAUUAUUGGUCUUGAGUGAGGAAUUCCUACUAAGCACAAGUCAUCAACUCGCGUUGACUACAUCCCUACCCUUUGUGCAUAUCACCCGUCACUUUUACUGAUUGAAUGGUUUGGUAAAGUGUUUGGAUCAUAACAACAUGGAUGCUUCACUACCUGUGACGUCACCAGAAGUUCACUAUACCUUAUCAUUUAGGGGAAGGAGAAGUCAUAACAAGGUUUCUGUAGGUGAACUUGAGGAAA
rnacentral:rRNA from 1 species